rnacentral:miRNA from 1 species
AGGUGGGUAUGGAGGAGCCCU